rnacentral:rRNA from 1 species
CUUUCAAGAAAUAAUCUCUAGUCGUCGAUGGCGACCGUACCAAAACCGACACAGGUGGAUGAGAAGAGUAUUCUCAGGCGCGCGAGAGAACUCACGUUAAGGAACUCUGCAAAUUAGCCACGUAACUUCGGGAGAAGUGGCGCUUUUUUCCGUUGUGGAGAACAUCCAUGAGCGGAGAGAAGCCGCAGUGAAAGGGCCCAGGCGACUGUUUAACAAAAACACAGCACUCUGCUAAUUCGUCUAAGAAGACGUAUAGGGUGUGAUACCUGCCCAAUGCCGAAAGGUCAAAAGGAGAUGUCAGUCCGCAAGGACGAAGCAUUGAAUUUAAGCCCCGGUGAAUGGCGGCCGUAACUAUAACGGUCCUAAGGUAGCGAAAUUCCUUGUCGGGUAAGUUCCGACCUGCACGAAUGGUGUAACGAUCUGGGCGCUGUCUCAACGAGAGACUCGGUGAAAUUGUAGUAGCAGUGAAGAUGCUGUUUACCCGCAAUAAGACGGAAAGACCCCGUGAACCUUUACUGUACUCUGAUAUGGGCUCUUGACUUGUUAUAUGUAGCAUAGCCAGGAGGCUUCGAAGUUGUGUCGUCAGGCAUGAUGGAGCCACCAGUGAAAUACUGGUUUUAACAAGUUGAGAAUCUAACGUGACUCCCUGAAGCUGGAGCACGGACAGUGUCAGACGGGCAGUUUUACUGGGGCGGUAUCCUCCCAAAGAGUAACGGAGGAGUCCAAAGCUUGCCUCAUCGUGGUUGGUAAUCACGAAACGAGCGUAAAAGUAUAAGGCAGGUUGACUGCGAGACCAACAAGUCGAGCAGGUACGAAAGUAGGGUUUAGUGAUCCGGCGGUAGAAAGUGGAAUCGCCGUCGCUCAACGGAUAAAAGGUACUCCGGGGAUAACAGGCUUAUCGCCACCAAGAGUUCAUAUCGACGUGGCGGUUUGGCACCUCGAUGUCGACUCAUGGCAUCCUGGGGCUGGAGAAGGUCCCAAGGGUUUGGCUGUUCGCCAAUUAAAGUGGUACGUGAGUUGGGUUCAAAACGUCGUGAGACAGUUUGGUUCCUAUCCUCUGUGGGCGCAGGGUAUUUGAGGAGAGCUACUUCUAGUACGAGAGGACCGAAGUGGACGAACCCCUGGUGUUCCGGUUGUCCUGCCAAGGGCAGAGCCGGGUAGCUAUGUUCGGAAAGGAUAAGCGUUGAAAGCAUCUAAACGCCAAGCCUCCUCCAAGAUGAGAUACCCCUAAGAGACCCCCGAUAGACUAUCGGGUUGAUAGGCUGGGUGUGUAAGUGCAGCAAUGCAUUGAGCUAACCAGUACUAAUCGGUCCAUCGACUUGAUCAC